AUGGGAGAGAGAGCCAUUGAGCACCACUUAAGAGGAAUGACAAGUGUGACCAAUCAAUUUGGUUUCAUGCCUGGGAGGUCGACAAUAGAAGCCAUUUUCUUGGUACGACAACUUAUGGAGAGAUAUAGGGAGCAAAAGGACCUGCAUAUGGUGUUCAUUGACUUGGAGAAGGCCUACGAUAAGAUACCGUGGAAUGUCAUGUGGUGGGCCUUGGAGAAACACAAAGUUCCAACAAAGUACAUUUCCCUUAUCAAGGGCAUCUACGAUAAUGUUCUGACAAGUGUUCAAACAAGUGAUGACGACACGGAUGACUUUCUGAUUAAAAUAGGACUGCACCAAGCGUUAGCUUUGAGCCCUUAUCCUUUUGCCUUGAUGAUGGAUGAGGUCACAAGGGAUAUACAAGGAGAUAUCCCAUGGUAUAUGCUCUUUGUGGUUGAUGUGGUGCUAGUCAAUGGUAGUCAGACAAGGGUUAAUAGAAAGUUAGAGCUAGAAGACAAACUUUGGAAUUGA
rnacentral:rRNA from 1 species